rnacentral:rRNA from 1 species
UACGGGGGGAGCAAGCGUUGUUCGGAUUUACUGGGCGUAAAGGGCGCGUAGGCGGUCAGCACAAGUCAGUUGUGAAAUCUCCGGGCUUAACUCGGAAAGGUCAACUGAUACUGUGCGACUAGAGUGCAGAAGGGGCAACUGGAAUUCUCGGUGUAGCGGUGAAAUGCGUAGAUAUCGAGGGGAACACCUGCGGCGAAGGCGGGUUGCUGGGCUGACACUGACGCUGAGGCGCGAAAGCCAGGGGAGCGAACGGG